rnacentral:tRNA from 1 species
GGGUUCGUAGCUCAGCCAGGUAGAGCGUCUGGCUCUUAACCAGUCAAGAUUUCUCUGGGUUAUAAUGUCGUGGGUCCGAAUCCCACCGAACCCG